CUGGUUGGUUCUCUGCAGGCUAUAUGUUGCUCAGUCUGGAACUCAAACAUAUGGUAUAACGAAAUAACUGCAAGUAAACACUGAUCUUUUUACAUGUUGGACAGUCAGUUUGUGCAAUGGGCUAAAUAUUAUGUUAGUACUUUGGGAAGUGUUCCACGCAAGAUAAGCUCAAGGCUUCUCAGGAGGGAGUUAAAGGGGCUGGUACUAAAUGCUGCUGAGCAGUAGCUUGCGGUUUUGUGAGGAGGUCAAAACUGUGCACAAACCAAGUGUGGUUUUCACAUCUGUGUCCUGUCCUCUGCAUUGUGAGCAACAAUCGGUCUUUUAUACAGCACGUUGGAGACGCACGGGGUAGCUGACUCCUGGGCACUCCAGUGUAAAUAAAGCAAGGGUGAAGCUGCGGCCACAGGCAAAGCAAGAAAAUUGUUGUCAAAUGUGUUGCAGGUUUAGCACAGUGGAAGCAUGGCUACCAGCGCUGUUCCCAGUGAAAACCUCCCCACAUACAAGCUGGUGGUGGUUGGAGAUGGCGGCGUGGGGAAGAGUGCUCUCACCAUUCAGUUCUUCCAGAAGAUUUUUGUGCCAGACUAUGACCCAACCAUUGAAGAUUCCUACCUGAAGCACACA